rnacentral:lncRNA from 1 species
GUGCGCGUUGCUGCUGCUCCUCCACUCACGGACGCGCCCGGCGCCGGCCUCGGCAUCCGGUGGUUCGACGUCGAGACGCGCCAUGGCCGCCGCCGCCACGCGGAGCCGUCCGAGGAGGACGACGAGGGGUCCAGCCGCCGCCGCCGCCAGAGACAGGUUCGAUCUCAUACUAUUUAUAUCUCAACACUGCUACGAUCUGCUCGUGGAGGAUCAUCAUCUCGGAGAUUAACAUUAACCAACCAUGCAUUCUUCGUUUCCUUUCCCGUAGACUGAAGACGAAGCCAGCAGCGAGGCAGGAGCUGCUUCCCCGGAACAGAUCUACGAGGCGCUCAAGGAGAUACCCG